GAAAAUUGCUUACCGAGUGGAUCAUGGGACAUGGUCUGAAAAGACUGGAUAUGAUUUUCCAGCUUUGCCACGUCAGACAAGAGGGAAUGAUUGUGGUGUUUUUGUACUCAUGUACACCCUCUCAAUGGUGUGUGGCAUUGGGUUUCAACUCCAGGAGAUGGAUAUACCUAUCAUCCGUCAGUGGUGGUGCCUUCUACUCAUGGAACAAUUUCAAAUUGAUGGGUAUGUCAGUAUUUAUUUAUUUUUCUUGUAAAUCUGUAAAAUUAAAAAUUUAUAUUGUGUCAAUACAACAACUUGUAACAUGAAUAACAAAACAUACUUAAAAUCUCUUUUACCGGUGACCAGUAUGUCACCGACUCGGUCCCAGUAACUCCCCUCGCUGGCCAGCAGAGGCCACCA